rnacentral:rRNA from 1 species
UACGAAGGGGGCUAGCGUUGCUCGGAUUGACUGGGCGUAAAGGGCGCGUAGGCGGUUCGUACAGUCAGACGUGAAAUUCCUGGGCUCAACCUGGGGGCUGCGUUUGAUACGUGCGGACUUGAGUGCGGAAGAGGGUCGUGGAAUUCCCAGUGUAGAGGUGAAAUUCGUAGAUAUCGGGAGGAACACCUGUGGCGAAGGCGGCCAUCUGGACGUCAACUGACGCUGAGACGCGAAAGCAUGGGGAGCAAACAGG